GACGAACGCUGGCGGCGUGCUUAACACAUGCAAGUCGAACGGAAAGGCCUGCUUUCCCUUGUGGAUUGCGGGUACUCGAGUGGCGAACGGGUGAGUAACACGUGAGUGAUCUGCCCCCAACUUGGGUAUAAGCCUGGGAAACUGGGUCUAAUUCCCGAUAGGACUGCAGGGUGGUGCCUGUGGUGGAAAACGAUUUUCUAGUGGUUGGGGAUGAGCUCGCGGCCUAUCAGCUUGUUGGUGGGGUAAUGGCCUACCAAGGCGGCGACGGGUAGCCGGCCUGGGAGGGUGGACGGCCACAUUGGGACUGAGAUACGGCCCAGACUCCUACGGGAGGCAGCAGUGGGGACUAUUGCACAAUGGGCGGAAGCCUGAUGCAGCGACGCCGCGUGGGGGAUGACGGCCUUCGGGUUGUAAACUCCUUUCGACCGCGAGGAAGCCACCUGGUUGGAAGGGUGGUGACGGUAGUGGUAGAAGAAGCACCGGCUAACUACGUG
rnacentral:rRNA from 1 species